CGGGACGGACGCACCUCUAGUGUGACAGUUGUCGUGCCAACGGCAUGCUGUUUAGCUACGUGCGGAUCGGAUAAGCGCUGAAAGCAUCUAAGUGCGAAGCCGACCCGAAGAUGAGGUUUCCCAUCCCACGUGGAGUAAGGCCCCUUGCUAGACGACAAGGUUGAUAGGCCGGAGCUGUAAACACCGCAAUGUGUUUAGGCGACCGGUACUAAUAGGCCGAGGACUUGAUUUU
rnacentral:rRNA from 1 species